rnacentral:rRNA from 1 species
AGCGAACGCUGGCGGCAGGCCUAAUACAUGCAAGUCGAGCGCACCUUCGGGUGAGCGGCGGACGGGUGAGUAACGCGUGGGAACGUGCCCUUUGGUACGGGAUAACUCAGGGAAACUUGAGCUAAUACCGUAUGUGCCCUUCGGGGGAAAGAUUUAUCGCCAUUGGAGCGGCCCGCGUUGGAUUAGGUAGUUGGUGGGGUAAAGGCCCACCAAGCCUACGAUCCAUAGCUGGUCUGAGAGGAUGAUCAGCCACACUGGGACUGAGACACGGCCCAGACUCCUACGGGAGGCAGCAGUAGGGAAUCUUGCGCAAUGGGCGAAAGCCUGACGCAGCCAUGCCGCGUGUAUGAUGAAGGUCUUAGGAUUGUAAAAUACUUUCACCGGGGAAGAUAAUGACGGUACCCGGAGAAGAAGCCCCGGCUAACUUCGUGCCAGCAGCCGCCGUAAAAC